CUCUCUCUCUCUCUUUUUUUUUUAAUUAGGCAUGUGGCCCUGUGGAAUAAAGCCUGCCUUUUCAACCGACCUGAUUGCUAGAUAUGGACAUGUGAUUCAAUCCUGGCUAAUGGAAUAGAGGUAGAAGUGGUGCAUACAACUUGCAGAAAGCAUCCUUAAAGUGCAAAGGCAAGUGAAACCGGACUACGCACAAAAGAAGAGGGUAGACCUUAACUCAUCAUAUAGAUUCCAUCUCAUUUUUCCAGGCGACCCCAGUGGGCUUUGCCAGUGACAAAAUGCCAGAGAUGCUGUCUUUAUGUGGCUGAAAACAUGCCUGCCAGCAGAUCCUGCUUAGCAACCCCAGGAGAAACAGCAUUCUUGAGCAUCUAGGUAUCAAACCUAGAGAAGGACUUUAUCUCUGCUUAGGUCACUUGUAAAUCCACUAAUCACUGCUAGUUCAAAGUAAACAAGUUCAAGUUCCAUGGCCACCUCUGCAGCAAGGGAGGCAAAGUCUGUAACUAAAGAAAGAGUCCUGCAUCAAGAGUACAAGACAACAGAGGUAAAGACCAAGGAAUUACCUUUUUUCAAUCUUUAUCUGAGAACUAUUUCAAGUCAUAACCAACCAAAUGUGACACUGGAGGAGAGGGGAAUAAGCUGACAACCAAUUAAUAAACUGAGGCUGUGUGAAGGCUGUCAGAGCAUCAUUGCUAGGUAGGAAUGAGCAGGUAAACUGGCUCUCUGGAAAAAAAAUGCAUGCAUUUAUUUAUAGAUGCACAAAAGUUUAUUAUAUAUUUUAUUAAUAUAAAUAAUGAGUGGCACAUAAUUUAUUUAAAAUGAUACAAUGUUAAAAGAUUGUUAUUACUUGAAUAAUUGAGUCUCUUCUAAUGCUUUUGUUGAUUUUUGCUCUUCUUGUAUCCUGGCUAAACUAUGCUUGCAAUUGACAAGUGUUUGAUGAACAUGAAUGUUGGUUGAUAUUUUCUUUUUUGUUGACAAGUAAAGUGCCAAAACUUCCUUCAUCAGUGGUGUGAACAACUUCUUUGCUGAACUGAGUAAUAGUUUUUGAAUACUGGAAGGAUAGUUCCUCAAUUUUUUUGUGUGUUACUUACAAUGUAACUGCUAAGCAUUAACACUUUCUAAGUUUAAUAUGCAUUAAUAACAUGUUCUUGAUCACUUCCUCAAUUCUAGAAAAUCAACAAAACAAUAACUCAAGCCUUGAUUUGUAGUAUUUGCCUAUUUCCAUGGUGUAAAUACUCCCACCACAGCCAAUUUUAAGCUACCAAUGGGACAUCAAUAAACGAAGAAUUGGGAAGAAAUGUGAACUAGCACACAAUUCUAUCGUAUUUUCACCAUACUAUAGGUGUAAAUAACCUUAAAAAUAUAGAUAAUAAUAAAAAGUAGUAAAAUAUUAGGAAGUGAUGAUUUUUGAGUAUUUAUUACUUUGUUUUAUAUAAUGUAUUUAAUUAUAAGUUUAUAUACUUUAAUUUUUAAUAAUUACUAUAUCUAAAAAAUGACUAAUAAAAUUCCAAGAAUUUUAACCAUUCCUCUACUUCAUGAGUCAGUCUGAACCAGCUCCAGCACACCAUUACUGAUGGUUUUCAUGAUUUCUAUGAAAUGGUUAGUGAAAUAAUAACUUGAAGUUAUUGUAAAAUAGAGAGCUGACAUGUGAAAUCAAGGUUCUACCAUGGUAUCUCUAUGAUUUAUCUAAAACAAUAUGCUCAAUAAAUAUAACUAGGUGGAUUUCCAGUAUUAGAUACACUCAAAUUUCAGUAGUUUUACUGUAUAGAUUGACAAGUUUUAAAUUAUUCACUAUUCUGGAUUUUUCAAAUCCAUUUUCUCUUUUGUUAGUGCAAGUGACUGAGAGGUUAUUUUAUUACAUUUACAAAAAAGUAUAAUUUCUGUAAGCUUUAUAUUUUAGUUAGAAAAGGAAGCAAAAGCAGAAUCUCUGAAAGCGUCUUCUGCUCCUUCAUUGAUGUAUGUGAUUGAAAUUGACUUCCAUUUCUUCACAUUACAAACUCCAUCAGAAUCUCUUUCACACUCUAAUAAUCUUCUAAAAAACUAUACUAGACAAAGUGGGACAAUGAAUACUAAGAAUAUGCUGUUUAUCUCAGAUAUACUGCUCUCUUUUAGUGAAUAUGUUUUGGCCAAGAAAUAGGAAUAAAGGAAAAUAACAGUGAGAAACACUCUCAGUAUAUUACUUUACUUUUAUGUAUUUAGCAUUGAAUACAGAAGUGUCUGCUUGUUGGCUUUCUGGCAACUCAAACCCUCA